GACAUAUCAAGUUGAAACACCGGUUCUCGUAUGAUUACCGAAGGUAAGAAACCUCGAGCCUGGUCAGUACCGAGAUGGGGAAUCGCUUGGGAAUACCAGGUGCUGUAAG